UGGAGAUCUCAGAGGUCUUUUCCAACCUUAAAGUUUUCGGUGGUUCUAUGUUCACUUGUCCAGAACGAAGUGGGACAAGGGAGCUGUUGUGUGCUGUGUGGGGAAGACUGCUGCAAAACAAGGUCGUCAUUUUACAGCAUGAACUGUGUUAUCGAGAAGAUGUGAAAUAAACGUGACAAAGCGAUGCAGUCCUUUAAAUCUGCCUUAAUUUUACUGGGAACACUGCAAAUGCAAGACAAUACCAGUUGCUGCGUGAAGCGUUGCGUGUGGUUGACCUGCUCUACCCUAGGGGCUGUGUAUGGUUGGAGUAUGACUUGAGAUCUACAGGAGGAACAGCACAAGCCAGCGUUUGUACUGCUUGCUUAUCACAGACGCAGCUUCAGGUACCUUGGGCUGCAAUUUUAUGGAAUUAUUAAGUAGGAACUGUAUGAAAAUGGGGACUCUGUGCCAAAGUGCAUGGCUCUUUGUCAGUAUCCAGACUAGAAGCCUGCAGACUCCAGGUGGGGCCAGCUCUGGGUUGUCUGUGAGCAGUGUUUGAUCUCACGGUGUAUUCCUCAGUGGCAGAGACUUCUGUUUAACAUUUUUGUGCCUUCCAGUCUCCCUUGUUCAUUUAAAGGAAAUCCUCUUUCUCCUUGACAAGUGCACAUGGUUACCCAAACCCAUCUAAAACUUGGGUGAGACCAGUUACUCCACAAACCAGAUGUGAAACCAAGCAUCUGACCUGAUGUCACAUUUGAAAACAGCAGGGCUGGAAGGAGGAGGCAUGGCAAUGAGAAGCUUGAGUCUGUUUUAGAAGACAGAAGCAAGCCCACUAACCUGCACUUGCCAGGUGUGUUGUGCAUCGUUCUGCCUCCAGUGAGCAGGAGGGGCUUGCUUCCAUCCACACUGCCUUCCAUCCGCACUGCCUUCCAUCCACACUGCCUUCCAUCCACACUGCCGAUGCCACUCAGCAGCCGUGGGUAGGAGUGUGUGCUCAGCUCUUUGUUCUCGCCCAGCAGGAGGCAGGUUCCAGCUUUCCAUGUGCCUAGGUGCUCUUUAAUCUAUUAUUUGUCUUAUAAAAUGGCUGAAUACAACAAAGAUCUUUUGGUUUAUUGAAACUGCCUAGGAAAAAAAUUAUUUAAACUAAUGCACAAAGGAAUUCCUAAAUCUUGGUUUCGCUGUUUUGUUUUGGUUUUUUUUUUUUAAUAAUUCUGCAUUACAAUACAGAAAAAAAAAUCUGUCCUCCUGUCUGGCUAAUGUUAGUUUGAUGAUUAUACUAAUAUUAACUGCUUUACUUGAGUAAGCAAAGAAAAGGUAAAAUACCAGUCAGCCCAGCUGCUAAUUCACAGAGUGUUGUACGACGGUUAUUAAAAAUACCCAAAAGA